rnacentral:rRNA from 1 species
CGGGCGAUGUGUACAUAUUAAUGGUAGUUUUCAAAUAAACAUAAUAAUUAAAUUUUACUAACAAAUUCUAUUUUUAAAAAUAUUUCAAUUUUUAUAAAUUUUUAAUAAUGUAAUUCAUUUCAACUAAAUUAAAUUGCACCUUGACCUGAUAUUUUAAGAAAAUUAUUGUAAUUUUUUUAAUAAUUACUUACGGUGGUAUACAGAAAUGAAUUAAGUAAGAUUUAUCGUGUAUUUUCGAUUAAGAAACAAAUUCCUUUGUAAAAGUUAAUACCGUCAAAUUUACUAUUUUAUUUUUUCUUGAAAUAUUAUAUUCUAAAAUAGAAUAAUA